rnacentral:rRNA from 1 species
UACGGAGGGGGCUAGCGUUGUUCGGAAUUACUGGGCGUAAAGCGCACGUAGGCGGCUUUGUAAGUUAGAGGUGAAAGCCUGGGGCUCAACUCCAGAAUUGCCUUUAAGACUGCAUCGCGUGAAUCGCGGAGAGGUGAGUGGAAUUCCGAGUGUAGAGGUGAAAUUCGUAGAUAUUCGGAAGAACACCAGUGGCGAAGGCGGCUCACUGGACGCGUAUUGACGCUGAGGUGCGAAAGCGUGGGGAGCAAACAGG